rnacentral:rRNA from 1 species
CAGAGGUCCCAAGCGUUGUUCGGAUUCACUGGGCGUAAAGGGUGCGCAGGUGGGCUGGUAAGUUCGAUGUGAAAGCCCCGGGCUUAACCCGGGAAUGGCAUUGGAUACUACUGGUCUGGAGGAUCGAGGGGGACUGGAAUUCUUGGUGUAGCAGUGAAAUGCGUAGAUAUCAAGAGGAACACCAGUGGCGAAGGCGAGUCCCUGGACGAUACCUGACACUGAGGCACGAAAGCCAAGGGAGCAAACAGGAUUAGAUACCCUGGUAGUCUUGGCUGUAAACGGUGCGCAUUUGCUGUAAACGGAAUCGACCCGUUUGUGGACGAAGCUAACGCGAUAAAUGCGCCGCCUGGGAAGUACGGGUCGCAAGAUUA